CAAAGGCAGGCAGGCAGGGGCUGCCAUGGGAAGCCAAUCAGCCAGCCAUGGGAAGAAGGCAGAGACUGUGAUGCCAAUCACCCACAGGAGAAAGACAACAGCCAACUUCUACAGUACCUGGCAGUUGGAACUUGAACACACAGACCUGCAAGCUCAACCUUCAAGAGCAUAUCAUUAGCCCAGUUUCACUGAAGGGAUAACAUGAGAAAUAUAUCAGGUGUGGAUUAAAAGAUUCUUCUGGUAAAGCACCAGAUAAGCAAACAGUGUCACAGUUCCCCACAUGAUGUUCAGGCUGACCCCGCUUGGUUUAGCUUGCUGAAUAGUACAGUUCCCCAAUGCUUUUUUCAACAGCUGACAUGACUGGCCUAGAAACGUUUCUGCGUACCAGCAAUACAUGACA